rnacentral:rRNA from 1 species
UACGGAGGGGACUAGCGUUGUUCGGAAUUACUGGGCGUAAAGCGCACGUAGGCGGAUUUGUAAGUCAGGGGUGAAAUCCCGGGGCUCAACCCCGGAACUGCCUUUGAUACUGCGAAUCUCGAGUCCGGAAGAGGUGAGUGGAAUUCCUAGUGUAGAGGUGAAAUUCGUAGAUAUUAGGAAGAACACCAGUGGCGAAGGCGACUUACUGGACACAUAUUGACGCUGAGGUGCGAAAGCGUGGGGAGCAAACAGG